rnacentral:rRNA from 1 species
UACAGAGACUGCGAGCGUUACUCGGAUUCACUGGGCGUAAAGGGUGCGCAGGCGGCCGAGUGUGUGAGGCGUGAAAGCCCGGGGCUUAACCCCGGAAUUGCACCUCAAACUACACGGCUAGAGCAUUGGAGAGGGUAGCAGAAUUCAUGGUGUAGCAGUGAAAUGCGUAGAUAUCAUGAGGAAUACCAGAGGCGAAGGCGGCUACCUGGACAAUUGCUGACGCUCAGGCACGAAAGCGUGGGGAGCAAAAGGG